rnacentral:piRNA from 1 species
UCCAACUAAUAGGGGACACGCUAUCUGGUC